GACGAACGCUGGCGGCGUGCUUAACACAUGCAAGUCGAACGGGUCUGCCUUGUUUUUUGCGGGGUGGGUCAGUGGCGAACGGGUGAGUAACACGUGAGUAACCUGCCCCUCACUUCUGGAUAACCGCUUGAAAGGGUGGCUAAUACGGGGUGUUCUGGCUGUGCCGCAUGGUGUGGCUGGGAAAGAUUCACUUUUGUGGUGUUUUGGUGGGGGAUGGGCUCGCGGCCUAUCAGCUUGUUGGUGGGGUGAUGGCCUGCCAAGGCUUUGACGGGUAGCCGGCCUGAGAGGGUGGGCGGUCACACUGGGACUGAGAUACGGCCCAGACUCCUGCGGGAGGCAGCAGUGGGGGGUAUUGCACAAUGGGCGGAAGCCUGAUGCAGCGACGUCGCGUGAGGGAUGGAGGCCUUCGGGUUGUGAACCUCUUUCGCCGGUGAAGAAGGUCCUGCUCCUUGUGGUGGGGUUGACGGUAGCCGGGUUAUGAAGCGCCGGCUAACUACGUGCCAGCAGCCGCGGUAAUACGUAGGGCGCGAGCGUUGUCCGGAAUUAUUGGGCGUAAAGGGCUUGUAGGCGGCUGGUCGCGUCUGCCGUGAAAUCCUCUGGCUCAGCUGGGGGCGUGCGGUGGGUACGGGCUGGCUUGAGUGCGGUAGGGGAGGCUGGAACUCCUGGUGUAGCGGUGGAAUGCGCAGACAUCAGGAGGAACACCGGUGGCGAAGGCGGGUCUCUGGGCCGUUACUGACGCUGAGGAGCGAAAGCGUGGGGAGCGAACAGG
rnacentral:rRNA from 1 species